rnacentral:rRNA from 1 species
CCUACGGGAGGCAGCAGUAAGGAAUAUUGGUCAAUGGGCGCAAGCCUGAACCAGCCAUGCCGCGUGCAGGAGGACUGCCUAUGGGUUGUAAACUGCUUUUAUACGGGAAUAUGUACCGUAAGAAUAAGGAUCGGCUAACUCCGUGCCAGCAGCCGCGGUAAUACGGAGGAUCCAAGCGUUAUCCGGAUUUAUUGGGUUUAAAGGGUGCGUAGGCGGCAUGCUAAGUCAGGGGUGAAAGACGGUGGCUCAACCGUCGCAGUGCCUUUGAUACUGGCAUGCUUGAAUUCGGAUGAGGUAGGCGGAAUGUGGCAAGUAGCGGUGAAAUGCAUAGAUAUGCCACAGAACACCGAUUGCGAAGGCAGCUUACCAAGGCGUAUUGACGCUGAUGCACGAAAGCGUGGGGAUCAAACAGGAUUAGAUACCCGAGUAGUC